rnacentral:rRNA from 1 species
UACGUAGGUGGCAAGCGUUGUCCGGAUUUACUGGGCGUAAAGGAUGCGUAGGCGGACAUUUAAGUCAGAUGUGAAAUACCCGAGCUUAACUUGGGUGCUGCAUUUGAAACUGGGUGUCUAGAGUGCAGGAGAGGUAAGUGGAAUUCCUAGUGUAGCGGUGAAAUGCGUAGAGAUUAGGAAGAACACCAGUGGCGAAGGCGGCAUCCUGGACCGACACUGACGCUGAGGAGCAAAAGCCAGGGGAGCAAACGGG